rnacentral:rRNA from 1 species
GCGGUGGAGCAUGUGGUUAAUUCGAAGCAACGCGAAGAACCUUACCAGGCCUUGACAUGCAGAGAACUUUCCAGAGAUGGAUUGGUGCCUUCGGGAACUCUGACACAGGUGCUGCAUGGCUGUCGUCAGCUCGUGUCGUGAGAUGUUGGGUUAAGUCCGUAACGAGCGCAACCCUUGUCCUUAGUUACCAGCACGUUAUGGUGGGCACUCUAAGGAGACUGCCGGUGACAAACCGGAGGAAGGUGGGGAUGACGUCAUGUCAUCAUGGCCCUUACGGCCUGGGCUACACACGUGCUACAAUGGUCGGUACAAAGGGUUGCCAAGCCGCGAGGUGGAGCUAAUCCCAUAAAACCGAUCGUAGUCCGGAUCGCAGUCUGCAACUCGACUGCGUGAAGUCGGAAUCGCUAGUAAUCGUGAAUCAGAAUGUCACGGUGAAUACGUUCCCGGGCCUU